GCCAGCAUAGCAUAGUGGUUGGAGUGUCGAACUAUGAAUCUGGAGACCUGGGUUCAAUUCCCAGCUCAGCCA